UCCGGAUAUGAGGCAAAUGUUCCUGAUUCCAAUCAAUUUGAUGAGUUGCAGAUCAACCUAUCUACUGAUUUUGUUAGCUUUACACUUUUUACCCGGAAUUUGACGAAGAGUUUUGUAUCAGUUCAUGACUUACACAGGUUCAAUAGAAAUCCAUUGUUCUCAUGACAGGCAUCAUUGAUGAAAGUUGAAUUAUUUGAAUGUUCAUGGGUUGUCCUGUAAAGAGGUUCAGCAUAGUAUUAGCACAAGAAUAUAAAAAGGAAAUAAUGUGAAUUUUAUGGUGAAAAGUAGGCCUGAGCCAAAAAAAAAAUCGGCCAAACCAAAUCAACUCGAGUCAGUUUAAUACAGGUAACUGAUUUGGUUUGUUAGCUUUUAAAUACAAUCAUGGUGGGUUGGUCCAGUCAUAGUUUGAAACCUCAAAAUGUUGGUUAACUGAACCAACCCAAUUCAUUUACACGUUUACUUUUUUUAAAAGAAAAAUAAAAAUCAAAAGAUAAGUCCUAAUCUCAUAACUGUAUCUCGAUUCCCUCCGAUCUAUAAUGUUGUUGGCAACUAAGAGCACUCGAAAUUUUUUUUCACAAGCUCAUUAUGUUAUACUUAGCAUUUUUCCUACUCAAACAAUCAAGCUACAUAAUGCAUAAAAACGCAACAAAAUUAUUAAGUUUUCGACUGAUAUGUCUCUAUUAACCUAAUUUUAUUUGUUAAUCAAUAAUUCUACUAAUAUAAAGUUAUUUAGUUAUUUUAGUUCUUGUAAUCUAAGCGAGCCCAAAACUUCGACAAUUUAAAAAAAAAUCAAUUUGGACUAAAAGUUCAAACUAAAUAACCAAACUGAACCAAACCAAACCUUUGGUUUUGGUUCGAUUUAAAAGCUAGAGUGGGUUGGUAUAAGUUGAAAUUCACUCAAACCGACUAAUUUGAUUUUGGUUUCUAGUUGGAGUCAAAACCGACCUAAACCAAAUUAUGUCCAGGAAUAAGAAAUUUUUUUAAAGUGAUUGGGACUAUAUACAGAUUCACAAUGAGGGUGUCUUUGGGAAAUAUCAGAACAUAAGAUAUAUGGAAAACUUUAAAAUCGAAGAAAAAACAAGAUUAGUAUAAGAUAGAUGUUAGGCAAUUUUGUUGUCAAACGACCUCCCCGGGCGAUGAUGUAACCUCGGUUGUUUAUUAUCAAUCGGCCUCGGCCUAAUGAUUGGUUAGCACAUCGACGCAAUUAACGAGACAACACAAUCCACUUUGUUAUGGACCGUUUGAAGUAACCUAUUUAAUAGUGUUGCUCACGGUUCUCGCACCAUUCCUUGGAAGGCUAUAUUAUUAUUGUUGAGGCCCAAUCAUUUGAGUCGAGCCUUGUUUGUUGAUCCACCACUUAGCCCUAAUUGUAACUUACCUUUUUGGACAAUAUUCUUGGCAUAUAUUCCCCUCACUCUCUUGGCCUCCAUUAGAGUGAAACAACCCCUCUUUGUGAGCCUCUCUCUCUCGGCCUCUUCCUCCCCCUCUCACUGUGACCUUUGUGGUUGAUAUAUUGUGGGUAUUUUCUUGGCCUUCUCCUUCCCAAUCGAUAGCAACUGGACCGGUGGCGGCAUAGGGUGGUGUUGGAGUUGUCUCAAGCCUUGGUGUCGAUUUUUUGGUAAACUGAGCCCGAUUUUGCACUGCUUGGCUGUGGAAUUCGGUCCUACAUGUGGUAUCAGACCCAGUAGAAGCUUUCCCAGCCUGAAAAUUGACAAAAAAUCGGUGGCAAUCGCGAUUUGGGGUUGAAGAACCGCGGCUGCAACCUUGAUUUUCGGCCAAUCCAGCCACUUUCCGACGAAAUCGAACCCAUAUUCGGGAUCAGCAGGCUGAGGCACUCCCUCGCGGCGCGUGGGGGAGGCGGCAGCGCGUGGAGCUCCGACGGCGGCGCGUGGCGGCGGUUCUGGGCGAGCUUCCUUCGGGCAGUUUGCUUAUUUUAAUCCCCUGAACGCACUGACACUGUUUAUUUUCUGUUACAGGUUAUACAGAAAAAGUUGGACAAUUUUGCCCCCGGUGGAUCGACGGUUGAAUCUACAUAUAUCUACUGAAUUACUUUAGGCCAAGAUUGUGGUCCUAAAGCAGUAGAUUCGCAUCUCUCUCGAUAAUACGGACUCAGACACGUCCGCUCUGGUAAAUUGGCUUAACCGUUAAUUUUUCAGCAUUAGCGCGUCACCGUGUGGGGUGACAAUAGGUUGGGGGUUGUCAUUGCUUGGCAACCAUUGCUUGUGCUAGAAUUAGUGUUAUGUGCUCUUAGUUGAUCCUUUUGAUUGAGUAUUUGUUUUUUGGGUUUAAAAUCAGUUUUGUAAUUUUUAGUGAUCAAAAUUACUGUGGGACUAGUUAUCUGCUAGAUGUAUUUUUUGCUGCAUUAUUAUUUCCGCUGCUUACUUAUUCCGUUAGAAAUACCGUGACUUUACCCUUUCGAACAUUCCCUUGAUCUAAGACCGCAAGUCUUACGAAACCCUGGGAAUCUAGAACGGAGUAUAUUGUCUGUGACCCCUAGGACUACUUUGUAUGGUUUGAUUGUGGUUUGUGCAUUUUUUGGCUAUUGUGUGAAGAUGACAACUCAUAGUUUUGAUUUGGGAAUUUUUAACGGAAAGGGUGACUUUGCUAUUUGGCAACAAAAAAUGAAGGGUAUUUUAGUCCAACAAAAGGUUUCAAAAGCCAUUGAAGGCAAUUUUUCAACUGAUUUUUCACAAGAACAAAAAAAGAAGCCGAUGAGCUUGCUUAUACCUCAAUUAUCUUACACUUGUCUGACGCUGUUUUAAGAAAGGUGGGUAAAUUAAAAAACACCAAAGAACUUUGGAAGAAAUUAGAAGACUUGUAUUUGCUUAAGUCUACACCUAAUAAGCUUUACCUGCUUGAACGUUUUUUUAGUUUCAAAAUGGAUUCUUCAAAGGAUCUUGAUGACAAUCUAGACGUGUUUAACAAAUUGGUGCAAGACAUAGUUAAUUGUGAUGAGACUGUGUUCGAAACUUAUAAGGCUAUAAUUUUGCUAAAUGCAAUCCAUGAUUCCUAUAAGGAAGUUAAGAAUGCCAUUAAGUAUGGCAGAGACACGUUAACACCUGAAAUUGUCAUAGAUUUCCUUAGAAGUAAAGAAAUGGAAAUUAAGGCUGAAAAACAUGAUAAAAGAAAUGAUGAAGUACAUAUGAUGCGGGGUAGAACUCAAUUUAGGCAAAAUAGUCAUGAGGGAUAUCAAACUAGUGGCGAGUCAAGUGGUAAUGGAUGGAAAAAGAAGGGCAAAGGUAGGUCUAGAUCAAAAUCUAGAACUAAGGCGAGAAAAUGCUAUGGUUGUGGAAACACAGGGCAUUUUAUAAAGGAUUGUCAUAAGGAGAAGGGUAAGCUAAAAGCUAAGGAGAGAGAUGAGGUAAAUGUGUUAGCAUCCACUUCUGAUAUAAGUGGUGGUGAGAUCUAUAUGAUUACAAGUCCAGCUGCAUACACUGCUGAAUUAAAUCUAACUGCUAAUUCCCGCAUCCAUGAGUGGAUACUUGAUUCUGGUGCAUCUUUUCAUGUGACGUCUGAAAAGAACUGGUUUUGUAAGUUGCAUGAAUCUAAAGUUGGGCAUGUUGUGCUGUGCGAUAACUUUGCCUAUACUAUCGCUGGAAUUGGUGACAUAAACGUAAAAUUUGACACGGAUUUUGUGUAUACGUUAAAGGAUGUUAGAUAUAUUCCUGAAUUGUCUAGAAAUUUGAUUUUAGUAGGGAGACUUGAGAGGGAUGACUUUACUGGUAAAAUUGGAAAUGGUAUGCUAAAAAUGAUCAAGGGUGUUUUAGUUUCCAUUAAGGGAAUUAAGAAAAACGAUAUAUACAUUACUACUGGGGAAGUGAUUAGAGAUAUGAAUUUCUCUAUCUCCUCUGUCAAGAUUGAUCACACACACACAUGGCACAAUAGGCUUGCUCACGUAGGAGUCAAGGGACUUAAGCUACUUAAUAAAAAGGGUGCUUUUGGUAAUGACUGUGUGUCAGAUUUGCCAUUUUGUGAUCAUUGUGUGCUUGGUAAGCAUCACAAAACUUCUUUCUCCACGAGUGUUAAUAGAGCUAAAGGCAUGCUCGAAUAUGUGCACUUUGACCUUUGGGGCCCUGCCAGUAACCCCACAUUGGGUGGUAAUAGGUAUUUCCUGUCUAUUAGUGAUGACUACACUAGGAAAGUGUGGGUCUAUCUUUUGAAGAAUCUGAGACCUUCAAUAGUUUUAAUAAUUGGAAGAGACAAGUGGAGAACCAGACUGGCAAGAAAAUCAAAAAUUUAAGGAUUGAUAAUGGCCUAGAAUUCUGUAAUAAAGAAUUUGAUAGUAUGUGUAAAGAAAGCGGCAUAACUAGACAUAAGAUUGUUCCCUACACCCCUCAGCAAAAUGGGGUAGCAGAAAGGAUGAAUAGAACCAUACUUGAUAAAGUACGUUGCAUGAUGAUCAGUUCGGGUGUUCCCAAGUCAUUUUGGGGUGAGGCUGUUAUGACAGCUUGCUAUUUGAUUAAUCUUACACCCUCUGCUGCAUUGAAUGGUGAUACUCCACAUGAGAGAUGGUCGGGUAAACUGAGUGAUUACUCGAUACUUAGAACUUUUGGCUGUACAGCUUUUUCUAAUCAAAGUGAGGGUAAGCUGGAACCUAGAGCUAGGAAGUGUGUUUUCUUAGGAUACCCCGAAGGUGUUAAGGGUUAUAGAUUAUGGGAUAGAAGCCAAAACGGAGUUAAAAUCAUCAUAAGCAGAGAUGUCACGUUUAAUGAAAAAGAAAUGCCGUGUAUUAAAGGGAAAACUGAACCCGAGAGUGAAGUAGAAUCGGGUGAAGAGAGAGACCAAUUUAAGGUGGAGUUAGGAAAACUCAGUCCACCUGCCCAUACUAUCUCAAAUGAGGUGGAGACUCAAACUCAGGAACCCGAAGUUGAAAAUAGUAACGAAAUAGUGAUAGAAGAACACUACGAGGAAGAGAAUCCCUUAGCUAACUAUAACUUAGUUAGAGAUAGAGAAAGGAGACAGUCGAGGGAACCUAGAAGGUUUGGUUUUGAAUCUGAAUUAGCUUUUGCCCAAGCUAGUUAUGAGGAACUAGCUGAAAAAGAGCCAAAGACUUUUGAAGAAGCAAUAGGCAGUGAUCAAUCUAAUGAAUGGCUUAAGGCAAUGAAAGAAGAGAUGAGUUCUCUGGAAAAGAAUCAUACUUGGGAGCUAGUACCUAGGCCUAAGAAUAAAUCAAUUGUUGAUUGCAAAUGGAUUUUUAAGGUUAAGGAAGGAACUAGCAGUUUGGAACCCCUAAGGUUUAAAGUUAGGUUAGUGGCUAAAGGCUACACACAGAAGGAGGGCGUUGAUUAUAAUGAAAUUUUCUCACCAGUUGUUAAGUUCACCACUAUUAGGGUCAUGCUCACAUUGGUUGCACAAUUUAACUGGGAACUUGAACAACUUGACGUAAAAACUGCUUUCUUACAUGGUGAGCUUGAUGAACAAAUUUUCAUGAAUCAACCUAAAGGCUUUAAGGAUAAGUCAAAACCUGAUUAUGUGUGGUUUUUGAGGAGAUCCUUGUAUGGGUUAAAACAAUCUCCUAGACAGUGGUACAAGAGGUUUGAUUCCUUUGUACUCACUAUAGGGUUUCAAAGAAGUAAAUUUGAUCACUGCNNNNNNNNNNNNNNNNNNNNNNNNNNNNNNNNNNNNNNNNNNNNNNNNNNNNNNNNNNNNNNNNNNNNNNNNNNNNNNNNNNNNNNNNNNNNNNNNNNNNNNNNNNNNNNNNNNNNNNNNNNNNNNNNNNNNNNNNNNNNNNNNNNNNNNNNNNNNNNNNNNNNNNNNNNNNNNNNNNNNNNNNNNNNNNNNNNNNNNNNNNNNCUAAUCCGAGACCUGAACAUUGGGAAGCGCUAAAGUGGUUGUUAAAGUACUUGAAGGGUACUAGUAACGUAGGCUUAAAGUUUAGUGCUAAUAGAGAAGGCAUAAAAUUAAAAGGUUUUGUAGAUGCUGACUAUGCGGGUGAUAGGGAUGGUAGGAAAUCUACUUCAUCUUACGUGUUUACCUUAUCUAAUUCAGGUGUAAGUUGGAAAUCACAGUUACAACAUAUUGUUGCACUAUCCACUAUAGAAUCAGAAUAUAUUGUCACCACUGAAGCUAUUAAAGAAACUCUAUGGCUUAGAGGUCUACUUCAUGAAUUAUGUGUUCUGAAUGAUUAUGUGGUAGUGUAUUCCGAUAGUCAGUCAUCCAUACAUUUAUGCAAAAAUCCUAUUUUUCACGAGCGCACUAAACACAUUGAUGUAAGACUCCAUUUCAUUAGAGAUAUAGUAUCUCAAGAGGUGGUAAGACUUGAGAAAGUUCAUACCCACUAUAACCCAUCUGAUAUGGGGACGAAGGUACUGCCACUGGCAAAGUUUAGGAGUUGCAAGGAACUUUUAAACAUUGGCACAGGUAAAUGAUUUUCAAUUUUAUUGUUUUCUAUUAGAGGUGUCACUAAUGGGAAACAAUUUUCUUUGCAGGUCCUUUUGACACCAAGGUGGAGGUUGUUAGGCAAUUUUGUUGUCAAACGACCUCCCCGGGCGAUGAUGUAACCUCGGUUGUUUAUUAUCAAUUGGCCUCGGCCUAAUGAUUGAUUAGCACAUCGACACAAUUAACGAGACAACACAAUCUACUUUGUUAUGGACCGUUUGAAGUAACCUAUUUUAUAGUGUUGCUCACGAUUCCCGCACCAUUCCUUGGAAGGCUAUAUUAUUAUUGUUGAGGCCCAAUUAUUUGAGUCGGGCCUUGUUUGUUGAUCCACCACUUAGCCCUAAUUGUAACUUACCUUUUGGACAAUAUUCUUGGCAUAUAUUCCCCUCACUCUCUCGGCCUCCAUUAGAGUGAAACAACCCCUCUUUAUGAGCCUCUCUCUCUCGGCCUCUUCCUUCCCCUCUCACUAUGACCUUUGUGGUUGAUAUAUUGUGGGUAUUUUCUUGGCCUUCUCCUUCCCAAUCGAUAGCAACCGGACCGGUGGCGGCAUAGGGUGGUGUUGGAGUUGUCUCAAGCCUUGGUGUCGAUAUUUUUGGUAAACUGAGCCCGGUUUUGCAUUGCUUGGCUGUGGAAUUCGGACCUACAAUAGAGAUUUAACUUCUAUUAUCUCUCAUCUCAAACAACAAGUAAACCCACAAGACAUGCAAUAAUCUUGCAUCAUUGUCAAUAUAUAUGUUUUAAACUGUACCAACCAUCACUGUCUAUGAUUCCAUAAUCAAUGAUGCUCGGACUUUCGAACAGCAGGGCCAAUAACGCUGCAGCCAUAGGCCAAAAAGCUGCUUUCUUUAUUCCAAUUUUUGUCGCAACCUCCAAAACCCAUCCCCUCAUGGCAUUGGCAAUUAAACAACAAAUAAUAUUUUUCCUUUCCAAUUCAUUAAUCCACUCAGUAAGGGCCUUCAGUUCACCUGGCGUGAUGUCAAUGUAAGUGUUAUACACUAAGUCCAAUCAACUUUGUACAUAAAAUACUUUUAAUGUUUAAUUGAUGUAUUUUUAUGACAGAUCUAUUAUUUAAUUUAUUAGAAUAUUAAUUCAAUCAUAUAAUAGAGUCUGUAAAUUCAAAUCUUUUUAAUCAGUUAAUCACAAAGAGUUGUGAUUGUGAGAUACAAUUACAUAUGACUGAAUUUUAAAUCGUCGAUGUUCUUAAGGAAUAACGAGAUACGAAUAUCAUUAUUAUGGAUAGACCAUCAAGUGUCGCAUUUCUUACUUUUGAAUUAAACAGAUAAUCUCCCAAGCUAAAGUGUGAUGACACUUAGAUGAACAUAUGGAUAUUUUGUUAUAGAACAAAACAUUGGAGACUCACUAAGGAGAUUCCACAUGGAUAACUAUUUGAAUGUCAGUGAUUAAUCUGUAACGUUCAAUAAUGGAAUUAGUAGUUCGAUUUGAGGUCAUCAUAGUGCCUUAUAUAAGGACAGUCAUACUUUAAUGAUGUUGGAUGUUGAGCCAAAGGUUACUGAUACAACAUCGUUCUAGUAUGUAAAAAAUAAAGGUUCUGAAUGAUCAAUAAAUGAUUCGUUACUAUUAGAUAGUAAGAGUUUAUGAUAUACAUUUCCUCCAGUUAAGUCAACAAAAAAAAUUCUUAACUAAGGUGUACUCAUAAAUUGAAAAUGAGUGAUAAGUGUAUUUUAUACACUUAUUCAAAACGUUAAAAGAUUAUAUUUAGUUGUUUCUUGAAUGAAUUAUGGUUUAAAUUAUUACAUUUUGUGUUGAAUAGGUAAAAUUCAACGGCGUUACAAGGAAUUGAAGGAAGAAGCAAAAGUGGACAAAAUUGGAGAAAAUGGCUAAGUUAUAAGAGAUCCAAAGUUCGGGGACUAAAGUGAAAUUACUCCAAAGUUGUGUUGGACCUCAUGAUAAAUAUUUAAGAGUACUCGGAGUCAAUUGGAUGAAGAAAGAUGUCAAAGAGAUCAAAUUUAGGCAAAAUAUGAUCAUAAAUCAAUUUCCAACCGAAAAUUUAUGCUCUGAAAUUUCAGUCUCAUAUUGAGACCCAUUUUUGACAUAGCAAACAAUCUAACUGCAGAAUCAUGUCUGAAGAAAAGUUGUAUACCUUUGAAUUAUCUUUCUAACGCAUCUUGAAUCGUCUCAAUUGGACAUUAGGAGAGAAAGUUAUGCUAAAAAUACUGAAAAAGGUGCAUGCUGUCUGUUCAAAAAGUGGCGCCGGGUGCCAUCCUACGGCGCUGCAGCGCCACCACCUAUUUUUUUGAUGCGGCGAUGAGGCGCUGCAUCCCUGGUGCCACCAAUCCGUAACCUAAGCGGAAUUUCGGCCCAUUUUGGAGUCUAUAUGAAAACCCUAUUCUUCAUACACAACAGGGGGCCUAUAAAUACGAAAAUUCUUACACUUUAAGGGGUUCUACAGAUUCUAGAGACAAAAACACUUCUUGAGAGAAAAGGGGAGAGAUUCAAAGGGAGAAGACAACGCCAAAUUCAUCGUGUAAAACAUAAAUUGGAAGGAGGAAUUAUGGGUACAAUAUCCACUUUUUCUUCUACAUAUUCUUAUUAAAAAUCUGGUGAUAUACUCUAAGACAAUUUGUUGUUGAUCUUCUUUUAUUAUGCGUAGUUAAAUCCAUUGUUAGGGCAAAUAAUGUAACCCAUUUGAGAUCCUUUAUGCUUUCUUAUUAAGAUUCUUGGUUUUUAAUUUUCCCCUGUGUUGAUUCUUGCUAUGAAUUGAUUGCAUUAGAUUAUCUUAUCAGUAUUUUGAUAGAAUUUUGUGAAUCCUUUACAAAUAGAGAUAUGAGUUUAAGAUUUAGACCAUGUAGCAAAAUUCAGUACAUUGGUAUAACGUGUAGAGAUACAUAUGCCAUUUAUUGCGAUCAAAAUUGAAUUCCUAAAACAAAGAACUUGUUUAACUCAGUUAAAUUUGCAUAGAGAUAUGAAAUUUAAUUAGUUGAAUUGGUUCAAUGAGAACUCGAGAGGGGUAAAUUGAAUACAAUAGGAGAAUUCGAUCGAACACUACAAUAAAAUUGAGUCUUAAUUUGAGAUGUAAAGGUGAUCACUAUGUGAAAUUAUUCUGCCCUAAAGUCCUCUAAUUAUUUGAUUGUACAAGUUUUUGGUGUGAGCUUUUAUUUAUUGUAUAGAAUUAAGAUUUAUAAUCAAAUCAUUAUAACUUUUAAAAUGUUUUCAUCAAAUAGUAGUAAAAGGAAAAUUGAAUUAAGUGCUAGAAAAUAGUCCUUGUGGGAUCGACAAUUCGAACUCUUAGAUCCACUAUUACUUGUUACGGUUCGUACACUUGCAAAACUAAAAUACACAACAAUGAGCUUUUAACUUACAUUGACUUAAUAGUUGGAUGAAAGAUAUAAUCAGUAAUUAAGAUUGACACAUAUUCACAUCUUGUAAUUUAUCGAAUUAUAUUGACCAAAUGGUUAUAGUUUCACAGUAAACAAAUAAGUUUCAUUUUAUCGUACCACAUGACAUUUUUCAUUACAUGUACUGCUCUAACAUAUUGUUAGAUGUCAAACUCGGAUGAUAAAUGUGAAUUGAUGAUAAAUUAAAAUUAGUUAUUUUAAUUUAUGUAUUUUGAUUAUGUCAAAAUAAUAAUUCACGUUGUUAGGUAUCGUGAUCAAGAUCCUAAUGGAUCUUAGACAAAAUGAGAACUAGAAGAAUGAAAUUUACGAAUUAAUUAAUUAACAAAUGUUGAAAAAUUAAAUGUUUGAAUUAAUUAAUUGGAUUAAUUAAUUAGAUUAGUUAAUUCAUGAACAUAAUUUAAUUAGUUGAAAUAAUUAAAUAUUAGAUCAGGUUAAAUUUAAGAGACUUACUAAACCCACUUGGACUUAUAUUAAUAAGCUAUUAGGGUUUUAGAAAAUUAGAAGACAAUUAAUAUUCUUGCUAGAGAGAGAGAGAGAGAGAAACCCUAAUUCUUUAAUUUUUGUUUCCUGUAUGAAUUUUCAUUAGAGGCUAGACAAUCAAACAGCUGUGAAUUGCAGUUCUUGAUUGUUUGUAUUCCAAAGAUCAACAAAGGAGUUUUGCAGAAUUUAUCAAAGAUAUUAUUCUAAACACAGUUUCUAUCUACGUACAAAACAUAACCAUGGUGGAAAUUGAAAAAUGAAUUAUUUUUCUACCAUGUGGAUGUGUAGAAUUGUUAGUUUUAUGUUCAGGAAAUUAUAUUCAAAUUAAAAUCAUCGCAAGUGUACGAUUUCAUUAACAAGUAAUAAAGUGGAAAAUAGAGUUUGAAUGUCAUCCCAAGAGAUUGAAUAGCUUAACCUUAUCUAUCUCAGCUUUAACCGAAACCAAAUUAUCCAACAAAAUAAUUGUGACUUGAUUAAACUUAACCUAGACUAAAUGUGAAUUUAAUGAACAAAAAUGCAAAGUUAUGCUUUUAAUGCAAGAAUGAUGUAAUUAAUGAAUGUAAAGCACACUAGGAUCACGAAUCCCCAAGUAAUGCUCACUUUCAACCCUAGUUCCAUAAUUUGACAACACGUUGAAUUUUUGAAGAAUCAAUGCUCCUAAAUCUAUUCAACAAUCUCUCUUGAGUAAUAUUAGACAUACUCUCAUAUAUCACUAGACUAUAUCUCUAUGACGACAGGUGCAAAUUGGGCUCAUUUAUGAAAAAAUUUAGUUGUAUAUUCAAAGCCUAAUGUUAAGUCCAAAGAGUCGGUAAAGUUGAGCAACAAAUUAUUUAUAUCGGAGUUGGUAUAGCUACUCCGAAAUAUGGGAAUAGGUGCUCAACUUGUGGAUCAAACUACGAACAAAUUUAAAGAUAUUGCAAUUGCUUAUUAUCAAGUUAUGGAAGAAGAUGUAUCGCAAGAAAGAAACUAUAACAUCACAACAAAUAAUGGUAUUCCAUAUUUCUUAUAAAAUAAGUUCAAAAAAUUUUUAGUCUCGUUAAUAUUUACGUGAUUCUGAAUUGAUCUCUAAAAAGAUUUUUACUUCUUAAAAUGUUGCCAUGAGAACAUCAUAUAGUCGAUAGAUUUUCGGAAAAGAAAGAAUCUUGUGUUUACAUGCGGAAAAUGAUUCUACCUACAUGAACUGUAAUCACGAAGCAACAUGAGUUUCUGAUUUUGCUACACCAGAGUUUAAAAUUAGCAAAUUUUAAGUCUCUUGUGAUCUUUCAUUUCUUUAAAAAAAUCUAUUUCAUUGUUGAUAUGUACGAAAUUUUUCAAUAAAAUAAUAGCUUUUUCAUUUCAAGGAAGUAUGAUUUUUUAAUAAAAAUAUAUUGUACUAAAUAUGGACUUGUAUUUUUGUAAUAACUUAAGCUGCUAAACAAUAUUUCGAGCAUUAAUAUCCAGCAUCUUUGUAGAAAUCUACUUAAUUUAGGGUUCUUGAUUUUAAACAUAGAUAUCUUCUUAGAGGAGGAGACCAUUUUUACAAUCUUCAUGUCAUGCCUUUCACGAGAAGAAAACGUGCAAUUUUGGAUGGAGUUCAACUACUUUGAAUAAAAAAGACGAGUGGUUCUCGCUCAACAAGAGUGACUAAACACAAGGGCGUGAAUAUUAAAGAUCGAGUCUUUGUUUAUUUAAGUCCAAUUGUGUUUAUAUUUGUUUUAACUUAUAGUUUGUUAUUAGCUGGCCUAGCCCGUGGAUGUAGGCAUUUGUGAAACCAUUACAAAUGCCAAUUUUAUUUACUCUUUUUACUAAUAAAAUUGCUAAAAUAGUUAAUUUAUCAUUAAUUAAUUUUAAUAAAUCGCUGCAAACAUAUCUAACAACUGAUAUGAGUACUCAUCACAAAAAUUGAUCUCAAAAAAUAAAAAUUAUUUUUUAAUGCCAGCACUAGAGUUUUCCUGCCAUAAUUAUGGUGGAAUUUUGCCUCUAUUGGGGUGUUUGUCUAUAUUUUGGGUGAGUUUUCUGUUUAAAAAAUAGAAUAGAAAAGAAAAGAAAAGAAAGAAGAAGUUUCCGAUGAGAUUUUAGCCGGAAAAGACAUUUCAAUUAGAAAUCACUAAGAUUUCUAAGAGUGUCGACCAUAAUUUUGCCUUGAUCCGAGGCGGUUUUUUAAAGUGGAAGAUUGGAUCUCUAAGAUUUUUCUUCAUUUUUUUAGCAUUCAACCCUUUUGUUUUUCAACCUUUGGAUUGUUUUAUCAUUAGCCCUAUUAUAGACAAAAUUGUAGGGAUUUUUUGAACAUUUAUAUGAGUGGGCAUUCUCAAUAUGAUAUUGGAAGACAGAUUAAUUCCAUGUUCCAAUAUUUUAUUGAGUUUUAUGCUUUCAUGAUAUUAGUUAUGUACACGCAUAGGUUUGCGUGGAUGAUCAUUCUUAUUUGAUUGUGUUAGAACGUACACUUCAAAUGGGCAUCUAUGUUCAAGGUCGAGCAGAGUCCUUUAUUUUUGCCAUUCAAACAAGUCUUACAAUUGUCCUUUAAUAUAAGUGUUAGGGUCACGUGUAAUCUAGAAAAUGAAUUUAAUUAUGUGAACCAAAAACAUAAAGUUGCUAUUGCAACAAUUGCAAAACCUUAUGGAAACCCUAAUAUUCUUGCAAAGUUUAUAGCUGGACAAUUAAAGAAUAGAGUUUCAUUUUGAAAUGAAAUGAAAAAGCUAUUGAAUUAAACUGAACAAGCAAAUACAAAGAAAUUCAAGUACAAAUUUUAGGACGUAUCGAUGGAAAAGAAAUUGUACUUGUCAAAUGGAUCAGAUAAUGUCUUUUUCAUCUAGAUGGUUCUUCGAUGGCCGAGGCAUCUUAUGCUUUGGUUGGGCCUCGACGGUCUAAUGCAAAUUCUCAUGGACACACUGGCAUGUAAAGAGGACUUCUAUGGUUGACAUGGAACUUCAUACAUAAAAACUAUUUCAGCAAGGAAUUUUAGUCCUUCAAGUCCGAGUUUCAUAUUCAUGUGGAACGCAGGAGUUUGGUGCUUUUGCUACUACUAGAGCUAAAAUAUUGAAAUGUCAUUUACAUCAUUACAUGGCCUUCCCUAUUUUUUGCAAGCAGGUACAAUGCGUCCGCUGUUAUCGAAGAAUUUGUGCCAGAAAACCAAAGCAGAUAACUGAUAUUGCAGCCUCAUAAAAAGUGAGGCAUCAUAUAUAGACGAAAUCCAAUAGAAAUAUAGCAC
rnacentral:lncRNA from 1 species